UAAAGAGUUGACUUGAGCCAGGGUGAGGA
rnacentral:piRNA from 1 species